rnacentral:rRNA from 1 species
UACGUAGGUGGCGAGCGUUGUCCGGAUUUACCGGGCGUAAAGGGCGUGCAGGCGGUUUGUUAAGUGCAGGGUGAAAGCUCCCGGCUCAACUGGGAGAGGUCCUUGCAUACUGGCGAACUCGAGGGAGGCAGAGGAAAGUGGAAUUCCCGGUGUAGUGGUGAUAUGCGUAGAUAUCGGGAGGAACACCUGUGGCGAAGGCGGCUUUCUGGGCCUUACCUGACGCUGAGACGCGGAAAGCGUGGGGAGCGAACCGG